GAUGAACGCUGGCGGCGUGCCUAAUACAUGCAAGUCGAGCGAACGGACGAGAAGCUUGCUUCUCUGAUGUUAGCGGCGGACGGGUGAGUAACACGUGGAUAACCUACCUAUAAGACUGGGAUAACUUCGGGAAACCGGAGCUAAUACCGGAUAAUAUUUUGAACCGCAUGGUUCAAAAGUGAAAGACGGUCUUGCUGUCACUUAUAGAUGGAUCCGCGCUGCAUUAGCUAGUUGGUAAGGUAACGGCUUACCAAGGCAACGAUGCAUAGCCGACCUGAGAGGGUGAUCGGCCACACUGGAACUGAGACACGGUCCAGACUCCUACGGGAGGCAGCAGUAGGGAAUCUUCCGCAAUGGGCGAAAGCCUGACGGAGCAACGCCGCGUGAGUGAUGAAGGUCUUCGGAUCGUAAAACUCUGUUAUUAGGGAAGAACAUAUGUGUAAGUAACUGUGCACAUCUUGACGGUACCUAAUCAGAAAGCCACGGCUAACUACGUGCCAGCAGCCGCGGUAAUACGUAGGUGGCAAGCGUUAUCCGGAAUUAUUGGGCGUAAAGCGCGCGUAGGCGGUUUUUUAGGUCUGAUGUGAAAGCCCACGGCUCAACCGUGGAGGGUCAUUGGAAACCGGAAAACUUGAGUGCAGAAGAGGAAAGUGGAAUUCCAUGUGUAGCGGUGAAAUGCGCAGAGAUAUGGAGGAACACCAGUGGCGAAGGCGACUUUCUGGUCUGUAACUGACGCUGAUGUGCGAAAGCGUGGGGAUCAAACAGGAUUAGAUACCCUGGUAGUCCACGCCGUAAACGAUGAGUGCUAAGUGUUAGGGGGUUUCCGCCCCUUAGUGCUGCAGCUAACGCAUUAAGCACUCCGCCUGGGGAGUACGACCGCAAGGUUGAAACUCAAAGGAAUUGACGGGGACCCGCACAAGCGGUGGAGCAUGUGGUUUAAUUCGAAGCAACGCGAAGAACCUUACCAAAUCUUGACAUCCUUUGACAACUCUAGAGAUAGAGCUUUCCCCUUCGGGGGACAAAGUGACAGGUGGUGCAUGGUUGUCGUCAGCUCGUGUCGUGAGAUGUUGGGUUAAGUCCCGCAACGAGCGCAACCCUUAAGCUUAGUUGCCAUCAUUAAGUUGGGCACUCUAAGUUGACUGCCGGUGACAAACCGGAGGAAGGUGGGGAUGACGUCAAAUCAUCAUGCCCCUUAUGAUUUGGGCUACACACGUGCUACAAUGGACAAUACAAAGGGCAGCGAAACCGCGAGGUCAAGCAAAUCCCAUAAAGUUGUUCUCAGUUCGGAUUGUAGUCUGCAACUCGACUACAUGAAGCUGGAAUCGCUAGUAAUCGUAGAUCAGCAUGCUACGGUGAAUACGUUCCCGGGUCU
rnacentral:rRNA from 1 species